GACGAACGCUGGCGGCGUGCUUAACACAUGCAAGUCGAACGGAAAGGCCCUGCUUUUGUGGGGUGCUCGAGUGGCGAACGGGUGAGUAACACGUGAGUAACCUGCCCUUGACUUUGGGGUAACUUCAGGAAACUGGGGCUAAUACCGCAUAGGAGCUCCUGCUGCAUGGUGGGGGUUGGAAAGUUUCGGCGGUUGGGGAUGUGCUCGCGGCUUAUCAGCUUGUUGGUGGGGUAGUGGCUUACCAAGCGUUUGACGGGUAGCCGGCCUGAGAGGGGGGCCAGCGAAAGUGGGACUGAGGUAGGGCCCAGGCGCGAACGGGCGGCAGAGGGGGGAAGUAUGGCAGAGUGGCGGGAAGCGAGAGACGGAAGCGCCGGGUGCGGAAAGACGGCUUGGGGGGUAAAAACAGCUGUGUAAGGAAAUAAACAGGGAGUGACGGUAAUGGAUAAAAAAGCCCCGGCUAACUACGUG
rnacentral:rRNA from 1 species